UGCUACACUCCUACUUAUCUUCCAGAUUUUUUUUUAUUUUUUUAUUAGGGUUCUACGCACUCUCCUCUCCAAAUCACAUGCUCGGAUCGCCUUUUCGAUCGAUCCGAAGCUACUACACGAGGGGUGCGAGAUCGAUCGAUCUCAGUGGCGCCUCUGGACGUGCGGUUUCCCCGAUCUCGAUCUCGUGGAUCCUCGCAUUUUCUCGGUUCAAUGAUGAUGAUUUGCUUUAACCACACCGAAUUCGAAGGCCUAAAGGGGAGAUUUCUCAAUUUCAUCUUUUUUUUUUUAGUGCUCUGCUUGCUUGGUUUCAUCUUGUGACCUCGCUUCCUCUUCUUGAAGAAGAUGAACAUAUUUACGUCUUCGUCUUCUUCAUUUAGAGGAGGGGAGUGAGGGUGAGACUAAGCUUGGAGAGCAUGAGAUGGGAUGGGAUGAUCUCUUCUUGUGGAGCUUUGUUGUGAGGAAAACUAUGGCCCAUAAUACUGAGAACCCUAAUUAUGCUUUGGCGAAAAUGUAUCAAAAUUAUCUGAAUUAUAAUCAUUUUGAUUCAAAACUAUCUAGUUUUUAAUUGUUUUGUUUGUUGCUUAACCUUUCAACUCUUUUUCAUAUGAACUAUGUGAUGGUUCCUUUCUUUCUAAGUUUGAGCUUUAUUGUAUUUUUUUUUUAAUGAAACUAUAGCUAUUUGCAUGGUUAUAAUCAAAGAAAGUGAAAAAUUAGGUGUUUUAGUUUGGCAUUUUUGUAAAAAUUUUACUUCAAUUUAUUAUUUUAUUGAGAUAAUUUUUUUUUCCUUAGAUUUUAAUAUCUUAUUUAGUCAAUAACCAUUAGCUAUAUUAAUUUUAUUUGCUAAAAUGAUCGGAAGGUAUUAAUGAAAUCUCUUAUUUAACUAGUUAAAAUAACUUAAUUUUUUGAUCAAAUCCCCUUCUUGCAAUUCUUCCUUUUUAAUAUUUAUAUAUUAAAAAAAAACUAAGGGUAUGCUAACAAAAAAAAUAUUGAGAGGCGAUUUGAAAUGGCAUAUAAUAAAGGGUAUUCGAAUUUAGAAAGUAUUGUAGUGUCAAAUUUUACAGAGACUUAGAAGGAAAACAAUUAUACCUCCAAUUAUACGUUGUUUGGACACAACUGUUAAAAGAGUAACACUAUUUAUUUUUAUUUUUUUUUACAAAAAUUUUGAACCUAAAAAAAUGUAUUAAGGGGCUCUACUUCAUUAUGAACCACAAGAUAUGAUGUUCUUGAGUGCCGUGUUUAUUAUGUGUGGUCAAAAUGUUGCUGAUGAUAAGAGUUGUUUUUUGUUCUGUGAAUUUAAAUUCAGUUAUCUUAAUAUAUAUAGAUUUACUAUGAUAAGGAGCAUUCAUUACAAGAAUCAAAUAUUUUUGUUACGAAUAUGCAAAAGUCAAAGAGCAAAGCCGGGCAGUGACCCAGAGAAAACCCUAGGCAUGGGGUAUCUCAAUGUCUGAUCUGGAUUUAGUAGUUUACUGUCGUUCUUCGGGGUGGACAUUCUGGAGCUGUAUCAGAUUAGUAGAUAGCUGGUUUUAACUGGGAGGUAAGUUGAGGCAAUGGUGAGUUUACUUGUUUGUUGCUGCAUGCGGCGAAGUUUUUAGCCGUGCCGCAGGUAAAGCUACGCAUUGAAGUUGCGGGCGGCUCAUUUCUAUUAUCACUCAGCAGUGAAGCUGCGGUGUUUCCAACGUCGAUAAGGGUGUGGCAGAGUAAGUUUAUAGCUCGAGUUGCUGGGGUUUGUUGCAUUGCAGAUAGUACCGAGCCCCGCUACUCAGCAGUGUAUUUUUGUUACAACAAUCUAAGUUAGGGGUGUUUCUAUUUUUAGCAAGGGCUGCAACUUUCUAGUGUCCAGUUGAAUGAGGUGCUGCAGUGAAUAGUUAGAAUCAAAAGUGGUCUGAAUCAUCACCCACCUGCUUCUUGAUUGCCUGCUUAUCGCCUGCUAAAAGUGUGCAUUGUAAAACAGCUGCUCUGUUUCAAGGAGGAGGAAUUUAUACUAAGAUACUGUAGGAUUCCAACUGCAGAUAUUUAAGUCGCUUUUUUAA